GACGAACGCUGGCGGCGUGCUUAACACAUGCAAGUCGAACGGAAGGGCCCUGCUUUUGUGGGGUGCUCGAGUGGCGAACGGGUGAGUAACACGUGAGUAACCUGCCCUUGACUUUGGGAUAACUUCAGGAAACUGGGGCUAAUACCGGAUAGGAGCUCCUGCUGCAUGGUGGGGGUUGGAAAGUUUCGGCGGUUGGGGAUGGACUCGCGGCUUAUCAGCUUGUUGGUGGGGUAGUGGCUUACCAAGGCUUUGACGGGUAGCCGGCCUGAGAGGGUGACCGGCCACAGUGGGACUGAGAUACGGCCCAGACUCCUACGGGAGGCAGCAGUGGGGAAUAUUGCACAAUGGGCGGAAGCCGGAUGCAGCAACGCCGCGUGCGGGAUGACGGCCUUCGGGUUGGAAACCGCUUUCGCCUGUGACGAAGCGUGAGUGACGGUAAUGGGUAAAGAAGCACCGGCUAACUACGU
rnacentral:rRNA from 1 species